GAAAUGCGAUAAGUAAUGUGAAUUGCAGCAUUCAGUGAAUCAUCGAAUCUUUGAACGCAUCUUGCGCUCCUUGGUAUUCCUUGGAGCAUGCCUGUUUGAGUAUCAUGAAAUCUUCAAAGUAAAUCUUUUGUUAACUCAAUUGGUUUCUACUUUGGUAUUGGAGGUCUUUGCAGCUUCACACCUGCUCCUCUUUGUUCAUUAGCUGGAUCUCAGUGUUAUGCUUGGUUCCACUCGGCGUGAUAAGUUAUCUAUCGCUGAGGACACUGUAAAAGGUGGCCAAGGUAAAUGCAGAUGAACCGCUUCUAAUAGUCCAUUGACUUGGACAAUACUUUUAUGAUCUGAUCUGAAAUCAGGUAGGACUACCCGCUGAACUUAAGC
rnacentral:misc_RNA from 1 species